rnacentral:rRNA from 1 species
UGGGGAAUAUUGCACAAUGGGGAACCCUGAUGCAGCGACGCCGCGUGAAGGAUGAAGUAUUUCGGUAUGUAAACUUCUAUCAGCAGGGAAGAAAAUGACGGUACCUGACUAAGAAGCCCCGGCUAACUACGUGCCAGCAGCCGCGGUAAUACGUAGGGGGCAAGCGUUAUCCGGAAUUACUGGGCGUAAAGGGUGCGUAGGUGGUUUCUUAAGUCAGAGGUGAAAGGCUACGGCUCAACCGUAGUAAGCCUUUGAAACUGGGAAACUUGAGUGCAGGAGAGGAGAGUGGAAUUCCUAGUGUAGCGGUGAAAUGCGUAGAUAUUAGGAGGAACACCAGUUGCGAAGGCGGCUCUCUGGACUGUAACUGACACUGAGGCACGAAAGCGUGGGGAGCAAACAGGAUUAGAUACC